rnacentral:rRNA from 1 species
UACGGGGGGGGUAAGCGUUGUUCGGAAUUACUGGGCGUAAAGGGCUCGUAGGUGGCCAACUAAGUCAGACGUGAAAUCCCUCGGCUUAACCGGGGAACUGCGUCUGAUACUGGAUGGCUUGAGUUCGGGAGAGGGAUGCGGAAUUCCAGGUGUAGCGGUGAAAUGCGUAGAUAUCUGGAGGAACACCGGUGGCGAAGGCGGCAUCCUGGACCGACACUGACACUGAGGAGCGAAAGCGUGGGGAGCGAACAGG